rnacentral:rRNA from 1 species
UAGGGAAUCUUCCGCAAUGGGCGAAAGCCUGACGGAGCGACGCCGCGUGAGCGAAGAAGGCCUUCGGGUCGUAAAGCUCUGUUGUGAGGGACGAAGGAGCGCCGUUUGAAGAAGGCGGCGCGGUGACGGUACCUCACGAGAAAGCCCCGGCUAACUACGUGCCAGCAGCCGCGGUAAUACGUAGGGGGCGAGCGUUGUCCGGAAUUAUUGGGCGUAAAGCGCGCGCAGGCGGUCUCUUAAGUCUGAUGUGAAAGCCCACGGCUCAACCGUGGAGGGUCAUUGGAAACUGGGGGACUUGAGGGCAGGAGAGGAGAGCGGAAUUCCACGUGUAGCGGUGAAAUGCGUAGAGAUGUGGAGGAACACCAGUGGCGAAGGCGGCUCUCUGGCCUGCACCUGACGC